ACAUACAUACAUACCUCGUUGAAUGCACCGGUUCUCGUUCGAUCACCGAAGUUUAGCAACGUCGAGCCUAGUGAGAACUUAGAUGGGUGACCGCUUGGGAAAUCUAGGUGCUGUAAGCG
rnacentral:rRNA from 1 species